rnacentral:rRNA from 1 species
CCAAUAGCGUAUAUUAAAGUUGUUGCAGUUAAAAAGCUCGUAGUUGAAUUUCGAGAUCAAAUUGUUGGUCGUGCCUCGGUACGUACUGGCAUUAUUGAUUUCUCCCUUCUGACGAUCCGCGAUGUCAUUACUUUGGUGUCAUGGGAAAUCAGGACUGUUACUUUGAAAAAAUUAGAGUGUUUAAAGCAAGCUCGCGCUUGAAUACAUUAGCAUGGAAUAAUGAAAUAGGACGUUUGAUUCUAUUUUGUUGGUUUCUAGGAUCGACGUAAUGAUUAAUAGGGUUAGUUGGGGGCAUUAGUAUUCAAUUGUCAGAGGUGAAAUUCUUGGAUUUAUUGAAGACUAACUACUGCGAAAGCAUUUGCCAAGGAUGUUUUCAUUAAUCAAGAACGAAAGUUAGGGGAUCGAAGACGAUCAGAUACCGUCGUAGUCUUAACCAUAAACUAUGCCGACUAGGGAUCGGAUGAUGUUAAUUUUUUAAUGACUCAUUCGGCGCCUUACG